rnacentral:lncRNA from 1 species
AUGCCUGGGGAUUUCCGUGCAUUUUCUGUUAUUACCCAAGAUGACAUGUCCUUUCUUUUCACCCAGGCCUGUGAAUUUGAGAGCCUGAAAGGAGGCAUGUGCCUGUGCUUGGGUAAUCUAGUCCCUUGUCUAGAUUACAAGGACAGACGACAUGAAAUGAUGGAGCCUCUAGGAAGGAAUAAAGAGGAGUCUCUGUACCUCCUGUUGAGGAAUGGCCUCAAAGACGUGUUGUUAAAUGAAAAGAAAAACAAAGGGCGGAAGACUAUAUAGAGUGGACAAGCUAAGGAAAAAUAAACCUAUGUGUAUGAUUGUAAGUAUGCA